ACUUAACCUAAAGCUAACAGACAGGAAACCAUCACCAAGAUUUGGGUAAUUGAAACUUUCAUGGAAAGGAUUGGGAAAGCGCAUGUCUCUGCUUGUACGCUCUAGUAUUAAACAUGAAUCUCAUCGGACAAUAAAAAUGUCGUGCUUGGCGAUAUGGCAGCGCUUGGGAGCAGUCAUCCAAAGGCAAAGCCAGUGGAGAGAUUCAGAGCUGGGCACUUGGAAAGAGCAAGAUCCUGGAGCAGGUUUGAUUCUCCACCAGUAAAAUGAGGUAAUGAUGUGAAAUUGAUCACGUGGUUGAAGAGUUAAAAUGAGAGAUUGGGCGUCAGUAUCCAGCCUAUGUUCCCGCCUGUGCAAGGAGAGAUUGCAGAAAACUAAAACAACAAAGAGGAGUGUGUGGUGUUGCUCCUGUAACUUGGAACUGGAGAGGAGGCAAGAUGCUGGCAUAGCUGUUGAACUGAGAACCUGCUAUGCCAACAUAUUGCCAUCUUUCCUGUCUGACAGCAGCUUGGCCACCUCCAUGCCAUUCCUGUGUCUUGCUACAAGCAAUCCGUGAUAUGUAGGGGUUCUGCGACUUGGUCUGCCUCACCCUGACUUCUCUCCAAUCCUGUACCAGAUCACUCACUUUGUUCUAGCCACGGUGGCUCAAGAGAACACUGUUCUAGGAUGAGCCAGGAAUGUUCCUGCCUCUCCUUACAUGUCUUUGUUUCAUCAUUUGGGCAUCAGUGAACUCUUUCUCUGUAGCACUGUCUAUAAAACAUUCCAUAUUCUGCCACUGUUCACCUCAUGACCCUGCUCUGACUUUUCAGAAACAUUGGCCUCUACCUGCACAUGUUUGUUUGCUUGGUUGCUGCUCUAUUUCCUGUACCAGAUUAUACGUCCUUUAAGGGGUACCAGUCUUCACUUCUUAUUCACUGUAUCCCUAGACCCUGACAUUUAUAAGUCCUUAAGACAUGUCUUUGAAACUCUACCCUGAACUUAUUGUGCAAUAGAGGUGUCAAAUAAUUACAUUUUAUCAUAUCAUGAAUGGCUCUGAUGAAACACUGGUUUAUAAGUAACAAAGAAUAAAUAAAUGAUAUUGAUUUCUAAGCCUGCAAACCCAACAUCUUAAAGGAGCCACAAUAAAGUUACCAUCGAAGUCUACCAACGCAGAGAAGACAAAAGAUUGUAUUGAAAAGAUAUUAUAUUCAAAAUAAAAGUUACUUU